GCUAGAGGUCUUAGUCCCAGAGGGAGGAAUGCUGCCACCAAGAGACACAACAACGAUUCCAUUAAACUGGAAGUUAAGAUUGCCACCUGGACACUUCGUGCUCCUCCUACCUUCAAGUCAACAGGCUAAGAAAGGAGUUACAGUGUUGGCUGUGGUGAUUGACUUGGACUAUCAAGAUGAAAUCAGUCUACUACUGCACAACAGAGACAAAACCACAGUCAACAUGAAUUCCAAGUGGUAACACUUAGUGUCCUGGGAUGGAGUGCUGAGAGAAAUCCGGAGGAUUCAGGUGAGAAAACAUUAAGAUGAUAGUAAUUUGUAGUAUAUAUAACUUAGAUUGGCAUUUGUAGCCUUUAUCUGUAUAUCUACUUUUGUUUCCUAUAAUUCUGUAAAGUGUUCUAUUAUUCUAUUAUUAUUUUUUAUAGAAAAGCCAAAUGAAGCUCAGGCAGGUUAUAUGACUUAGAUAAAAUUUGUUGGUUCAUGAAUAAUGAAGCUGAGUCUUCGAUUCCAGAAGCUGUACAUUUCUUCUUUUGAAGAAUAA
rnacentral:lncRNA from 10 species